rnacentral:rRNA from 1 species
UACGAAGGGGGCUAGCGUUGCUCGGAGUCACUGGGCGUAAAGCGCACGUAGGCGGAUUUCUAAGUCAGGGGUGAAAUCCUGGAGCUCAACUCCAGAACUGCCUUUGAUACUGGGAAUCUCGAGUCCGGGAGAGGUGAGUGGAACUGCGAGUGUAGAGGUGAAAUUCGUAGAUAUUCGCAAGAACACCAGUGGCGAAGGCGGCUCACUGGCCCGGUACUGACGCUGAGGUGCGAAAGCGUGGGGAGCAAACAGG